GAUGAACGCUGGCGGCGUGCCUAAUACAUGCAAGUCGAGCGAAUGGAUUAAGAGCUUGCUCUUAUGAAGUUAGCGGCGGACGGGUGAGUAACACGUGGGUAACCUGCCCAUAAGACUGGGAUAACUCCGGGAAACCGGGGCUAAUACCGGAUAACAUUUUGAACCGCAUGGUUCGAAAUUGAAAGGCGGCUUCGGCUGUCACUUAUGGAUGGACCCGCGUCGCAUUAGCUAGUUGGUGAGGUAACGGCUCACCAAGGCAACGAUGCGUAGCCGACCAGAGAGGGUGAUCGGCCACACGGGGACGGGGACACGGCCCAGGCUCCGACGGGAGGCAGCAGUAGGGAAUCUUCCGCAAUGGACGAAAGUCUGACGGAGCAACGCCGCGUGAGUGAUGAAGGCUUUCGGGUCGUAAAACUCUGCUGUUAGGGAAGAACAAGUGCUAGUUGAAUAAGCUGGCACCUUGACGGUACCUAACCAGAAAGCCACGGCUAACUACGUGCCAGCCGCCGCGGUAA
rnacentral:rRNA from 1 species